AGCAGCAAGGUGGCCCUGGUAGGGGAGGGGUUGAUAUCGAGAUUGGGCACCGGGGGAAGAAUGUCUCGUUUCAACUUUGUCUGUGGCUUGCACCCCCGGAGAAGGCCACACGCCGGUUGUAGGGUGCAGAUGUGCUGAGAGUGAUUUCUAAGUAGUUGAGUUGUUGAGAUGAAGGUACGACUGCUAAUGGUAGGCAGGUUUUGUUUUCAUUGGUGAAUCUGGUGUCAUCAUAUUCGGGGCAUAUGUUGAAAUAUUCUUUGUUUAGGUCUUGAAGUAGAGGAUCUCACUCUGCACGUCCACAUUUUGUUGUUUUUAAAUGAUGUCUGCAAGUGUGGCUUUCUAGAAUUUCAAAUGUGAGUUAAGGUCCGGGCGUGUGUGGGCCUCAGCAUUGGCCUUGACAGUGAACUUUGUGGCAGUGUUUUGGAUUUCAGAGAUUUGCCCCAUAGCUGGGGUGCGAGCUGUGCAUUUUUUGUUAAUAGUAGGUGUCAGGAAUGUAGAUGCUUAAGCUGGGGACAUUAAAGAGAGAACAUUCCUGUAUUAAUAAUUGAUAGCUGAAUAUUAGAAUCAGAUUAAUUUGGGUUGAUGAAAGUUUUUUUUUUUUUUUUCCCCCAAAAGCAGCUGUGCACUCUAGGAAGGAAGCCUUUACAUAGGCACACUUUAUAGGGGUUCUUUAGGGCAGGGAGCUAGAAUAUCUCCUUUUAGAGAGGAUACUCAUCAACAUCUCUGGCUUCACUCAGGGCCUGGUAAGGGGACUGAAAUUGGGGCUAAGACAUCUAAGUGUACUUUUCAGUGCUUAUGUUGUUUGUUUACAUCUGGUGUUUAUCACAUUUGGGCACUAGAAAUAAAUAGGUAAGUUUUUCUUUUGGUUUUUGAAGAGUAGCCCCUUCCCCCCCCCUUUUUUUUAAGUUUCACGAUUUACUUGGUUUCACAGCAUUAUAGGAAACUGUUACUACAUUUUUACUGGAAGUACUAUUAUCAUUUUGAUUUUGUCAUCUGGAAGGAGCUGCCUCAGAAAUACUCUUCUUCUGUUUACAUGAAGAACUCUAAAUGCUAUCCAGCAGGAGGUGCUACAUCAAGAUAAAGCAAAUCUCUUGAAUUUUGAGGGUCUUACUACUUAUUACAGCUCUGUUAGCUUCAACUAAGCAACAGGAUUAACGCCUUAAAGUUCCAGAAAGAUUUUGAGGAGCAAGAGAGCUGAAGGAGAGCCCGUUUCCCCAAAAUUGGACUUCUCAGAACCUUUAAUAUGCUAAUGUGCAUUGUGAAUCUCCAAGAGGGGGAUAUGAUAUGCAGCAUUCUUGAAUACUUCUAAUGACAGGGAGCCCACUACCUCAUAAGCUGCAGUGAGAAGAGGAGUUUGUUAUUUUAAACGGAGGCUGAAGAAACUGUAGAAUUAGCAGACAUAAGAUAAAGUGGAAAGGUGGAGGAUGGAGUUGCAGACUCUACAGGAGGCUCUUAAAGUGGAAAUUCAGGUUCACCAGAAACUGGUUGCUCAAAUGAAGCAGGAUCCACAGAAUGCUGAUUUAAAGAAACAGCUUCAUGAACUCCAAGCCAAAAUCACAGCUUUGAGUGAGAAACAGGAAGAAGUACAAUCUGCUGAUGAAACUUGAGAUAACAGAAGUGUUUCUCAGUAAGAACUGAAUGGAGCAGAGAACUAGGAGACUGCUGUAUUUAUCUUUAGCUAUGGAAUUUGCUUCCCUGCAUGGGCCUCUCAGAAGCCAGCUCUCCUGCUCUCCGCAACACGCUCACAGUCAGCAGAACAGGGAAAUCACACUGAUCAGCACACCACUCAGUUGAUCAAAGGAAGCCAGCCACUUUUCUUCAGCAAGACUCAGCGGUAUUAGUCACUACGCCUUCUCCUGCCGUGAGCAAGGCCACUGGAACUCUGCUGGCAACAUUAGUCUGUGUGUAAAAAGCUGCUUAUAUUCCCUUUGCCUUGGCUUUGGCUUAGGCCUCGGAAAGUUGGGAAGAAAGAGAAAAAUGUCCCCAGGAGCCAGUAUCUCUCCUUCCUAAAAUUUGGUGUGAAGCAUUUCCCUUCAUUGGCAAUCCCUAAUGGCAAUCCCUAACUCUGCUGGGAAAAGACUUGCUAAUUUUCUUUUAAUUGUAAAAGAGCCCGACAGCAUACUAAACAUGUGGAGACUACAUGAAAUAUAUGACAGAAUACGAUCUUACAUUGAUUGAGUUAAUUGUAGGUCUGACAAAGCUACAAAAUUAAAAUAAGCCACACUUUUAAGCACUUAAUCUUUUGAUUCUGUUGCUUUUUAAUGUUUUCUGGGUAGUCUUAUGUUAUUUUGCAGGGAACCUGUGGGUCUCAAUGCUAAUUUUUUGGCUAUAGACAGCAGUUUGCUCCUUGAGGCUUUAAUGGGUGUGUAAUUCCCUUUCUUGUAGGCAUUUGGCAUUUCAGUACAGUUUACAGUAUGGAACAUGGAAGGGACCCCCUGAGUAGGACAGUGGCUGCUCUUUGUCACUUGCAGCUGUGUUUGCAAGGGAGCAUGCUGGCAGCCAGCAAGGAGAGUGCUGUGACAGGUGGGAAGAGCAAAACCAGAAAAUAUGCUUCUCCCUUCUCUUAUCCUCUUUCCAGUCCCUUCUUUCCCCCACCCUUUUCUACCUGACCUUCUGUUUUUCUUCUCUUCCCCUUUUAGAAGCCAUCUGUUUCCCUCUACCAGUUCUGUUUGGCUUGCAGAUGCCACUGUACAGGAAUCCACUUUGUUGGAGCUAGCGUAUGCUUGACCUGUGUUGAACGUAUGUGUUCGGGCUGGGCUCAGCCUGCUGCACUGAAGGGAAUGGUGAGGGCCUGGCACACCAAAUUUCAUAAAUUUUGGAUACCAAUUCUAGAGACUCAAAAGGGCAACAUUAUCUUACCACCUGGAUCUGAGAGAUGAUAGAGGGCUUUUAGACCCUGGUUCUGCAGGUUCUGUAUUACUUUCUAUUAGAGAUGGGAGCAGCAUUAGUCUGUGUGUAAAAAGCUGCUUAUGUACUCUUGGCCUUAGCCUGGGCCAAGGCAAGGAGGGAGAAAAGGAGGAAUAUGUCCCACCAGCCAGUUUUCUUCCUUCUAAAACUUGGUGUGAAGCAUUUUCAUCGCUGUUGUCAGUAACACAAACUGUCACUGUGCAGAGCUAGUUUAGCUGCUCCCUGAGCAGGUACCAGUUCACGUCUCCCUGCUUUGGCCCCCCUUCAGUUCCCUUCUCCUUGGGCACUGCUUGCUGGUGGGGAUGUAUGAUGGUGCAGCCACUUCAAAGAACAGGCUGGCAGUUCCUCAGAACCUUAAACAUAGCGUUACCACGUGACUCAACGAUUUCACUCCUAGGUAUACAUUCAAAAGUGAAAACAUAUGUUCAAACCAAACUUCUACGCAAAUAUUCAUAGCAGCAUUAUUCAUGAUAGCCCCAAAGUGGAAAUAACCAUUGACUGAUAGAUAGAUUAAAUAACAUGUGGUAUACCCAUACAAUGGAAUAUUGUUUGGCAGUAAAAGGAAUGAAGUGCCAAUACAUGCUACCACAUGGAUGAAU